AAUCAACGCUGGCGGCGUGCCUCAGACAUGCAAGUCGAACGAUUAAAGCUCUCUUCGGAGAGUGUAUAGAGUGGCGCACGGGUGAGGAACACGUAAGUAAUCUACCUUUGAGUGGGGAAUAACGUCCGGAAACGGACGCUAAUACCGCAUAAUGCAGCGGCAUCGCAAGAUGACAGUUGUUAAAGAUUUAUCGCUUGAAGAGGAGCUUGCGGCAGAUUAGCUAGUUGGUAAGGUAAUGGCUUACCAAGGCUACGAUCUGUAACCGGUCUAAGAGGACGGUCGGUCACACUGACACUGAAUAACGGGUCAGACUCCUACGGGAGGCAGCAGUCGGGAAUUUUGGGCAAUGGGCGAAAGCCUGACCCAGCAACGCCGCGUGAAGGAUGAAGUAUUUCGGUAUGUAAACUUCGAAAGAAUGGGAAGAAUAAAUGACGGUACCAUUUAUAAGGUCCGGCUAACUACGUGCCAGCCGCCGCUGUAAUAC
rnacentral:rRNA from 1 species